rnacentral:lncRNA from 1 species
UUCUGAUCUUCACAAACCUUCACCGCUGGAAUCUCGUCCCCGCUGCUGCUGCUACUGCUGCUCAUCCUUCACGAACCUUCACCGCUGGAAUCGUGUCCCCGCUGCUGCUGCCGCCGCUGCUCAUCCUUCAUGAACCGUCACCGCUGGAAUCGCGUCCCCGCUGCUGCUCAUCCUUCACGAACCUUCACCACUGGAAUCUCGUCCCCGCUGCUGCUGCUGCUGCCAUCUGACUGCUGUUGUGAGCUGCUGCUGGUAACUUGAGCUGCUUGAGCUUGAGCUGUUUUUGCAGAGAACUUGAGCUGCUGCUGGCGUGAAAAGGUAAUCAAACAAACAGCUGCUGCUGCUGGCGUUAAAAGCUCCCUUUGUUUUUACUGGUGCCAUUGGUUUUAACCAAUUUCCACGAUUCUUCUUCGACUCCAAUUUGGAGAUAACAGUGCAAUUUGGUGAUGAACAUAAAUAAAAUCAAAACUCAAGUUUCGAUUAAUUUUAUUUAAUUUUAAUUUGUAAAGUGCCACAUAAUUCAACUUGUGAUUGUGUUUUGGCUUUUCACGUGCUAUUGACACGCUUUCUUAGAAAUUUGUUUCGUUUUCUUUGAAGGCAAAUUUGAAGAACACGUUGAUUAAUAUGUUUUGCCUUUUUUAUUGUCUUCACAGCAGAAUAAACAAAUGGCCGUUUGCAGCAUGCAGUUUUAAGCUUGAAAUAAACUUGUGCUUAUAAAAUUAUUCCCCUGGUGAUCUUUGUCCUUUUUAUAACUUUGGGAAUGGGAAAAUGAAUUUUUGUAGUGUCUGGUUUCCAUGUGCAUGUGGAUUUCCCAUUUAGUUCCUCUGAUUGUUGUGGUAUGUUCAGAAUUUUGUAAAAACACUGUGAUUGUUGGAUCUUUAUAGUAUGUAUUCUUGUUUGCAGUUGUUUGACUUGUUUCUACGGAUAGUUUCAUUGUUUUCUAACUUACUCUGUACCGUUUAAACUUAUUUAAAUAUUUGUUCCAUGAUUGAGUUUUUCUCUUUUAUUAGUUGCUUAAUUCCUUAGAUUAUGUUUCUUUUAAAAGACUUUUUGCUUAUUUAUUUUGAUUUGAACUUGUUAUUUAAAC